rnacentral:tRNA from 1 species
GUUGCUUUGGCAGAAUUAUGCAUUGGACUUAGGAUCCAACAAUGUGGGUGUGACUUCCACAAGUAAUA